CCUACGGGUGGCAGCAGUGGGGAAUAUUGGGCAAUGGGCGAAAGCCUGACCCAGCAACGCCGCGUGAAGGAAGAAGGCUCUCGGGUUGUAAACUUCUUUUGGCAGGGAAGAACAGAGGACGGUACCUGUCGAAUAAGCCACGGCUAACUACGUGCCAGCAGCCGCGGUAAGUCGUAGGUGGCAAGGGUUUACCGGAUUUACUGGGGGUAAAGGGCGUGUAGCGGGGCUGAGAAGUCCGAUGUGAAAUCCGGGGGCUCAACCCCCGAACUGCAGUUGAAACUGUUGGUCUUGAGUAGCGGAGAGGCAGGCGGAAUUCCUAGUGUAGCGGUGAAAUGCGUAGAUAUUAGGAGGAACACCAGUGGCGAAGGCGGCCUGCUGGACGACAACUGACGGUGAGGCGCGAAAGCGUGGGGAGCAAACAGGAUUAGAUACCCUAGUAGUC
rnacentral:rRNA from 1 species